UGCAAAGCACUUCACAAUAUACAAAUGAUUUCACAAUAAGACAGUCAAGUUAGCAUUCCUGCCUCUGGGGGCUGAGGGCUGCUGGCCCCCAGCAAGAGGGUAAGGCAAGAGCCAGCCAGAAACCUCGGCUGCCUUCUCACUGUCCUUUCCUCUCACCUAGCCUGGAAUUUCCACCAUCAAACUCCCUAAUGGAGUAAAGAAGCACACUGGGGGGCUCUAGAAGAGGACCAUGAGCAGAGGGGACCAGGUGAAAAGACGGUGUGUGGACUGAUGUGUGCUGUUAAAAGCAAUGAAUUAGAUCUGCCAGGGGCUUCCAGCCAUGAAAUGCUCUGCUCUCUUCUCUUUUCCUUGCCGUCCCCGGGGCUGGAGGAGCACAGGCCUCCCCAGGCACCGGGCCUCAGCUUUGCUGCACUCCCAUCUCCUUCCAAGGGUUGAGGCCGGGUGGCCAGAAAUGGGAGGCCCGGACUUGCUACUGCCGAUGUGGAAACAGGGGCAGCUGCAGCCCGGGCGGCUCUGGGCUGGGCACCCCGACCCUGCCCAGAGGGGCCUGAGUAGGCCUGCCAGGCCAGGCCUCACACCUGGGCAGUGGAUGGCCUGAGGUACCCCCACACCAGCAACCCGUCCUUCCCAUACCCAACAGCUUUUGCCAAGUGUGAGGGGCCAGGUGGGGCCAUCGCUCAAGGCCAAGCUGGGGCCCAGGAGGUCAGAGGUCCAGGGAUGGGAGCUCCAGUCCAGGAGUCAGGGCUCAGGAGUUUUGGUCUCAGCUCUGUUCUUUGCUCACUGGGUGCCUUUGGCCAUCCCUGACCCCCUGCAGGCGUCGGCUUCCUCUUUUGUGUAGUGAUUGUGGCCCCCAUGAUCUAAAAUCUCUCGCCCAUUUCUGCUCCAAUUCUGACAUCCCCCUUGAAUUUCAUAUUUCAAGAGCCUCUGCUUUGGGGACAGGUAGGCACGGAGGCUGGGGCCCUCAGAGCAGGGCUUGGCAUAGGCCUUGGAGAGACUAGGGGGAAGGAAAGGGCAUGCCAGGCCGGGGGCCAGACUGGAACAAGGCUUGGAGGUGGGAAGGCCAGGACCAAGUCUGGGAGACGAGGUGUUGAUGGGACAGAGGGUCGUAGGUGACAAGAUUGAUCCAGAAGGAUUCGAAAGUGGGAGAAAGAUUUUAGGAGCCGCUUUGUUCCCGCAGACCUGAGGAAGGGGUCUGACACCUCUCCAGAAGUGGUCUUUUGGAGGGUGGGGGCAGGGCCAGUGCUUCCUGUCUAAGAAGGAGAUGGGUACCCGUGUGGUGGGACACGGGAGCCUCAGGAGGGAGCCACAUCUUUCCCCCUCUGUCAGGUGCCUGGAGGGCCACCAUCAGGGCCAGGCCUCAGGAGUUGGCAUUGCCCUCUUCCCGAACGCAUCUUGUUUUGUUUUUAAGCACUGCUAUUGCAAGAAUGGGAGGGGAGAUGACUUUGCUUCUUGUUGACUUUGCUGACAGUGCCUGACCUCUGCAGGAAGAGUUUCCAGGAAGGCCAAGGCAUGAGCCCCCUGGGAACCGACCAGUCCACUGAGUUCAGACACCCUCUUGGUCUAGGAGGUUCUGAGGUGCCCACCUCACAAGUACAAGCCCUAAAUCUCAAGGCCUGUGCAACACAGACAGCACAAGCACUGGUUCCAGCCAAAGAGGCCUUGGGGAUCCCAAGACCCCGAGGCCCAGACUGAGGGACCAUCGGGCUGGCCUGGCCCCCACUAUCCUGUCCCGGCACCAAGUGCUGAGUUGGCGGUUCAGCAGCUGCCUCUGCCCACGGAGGCCCAGUUAUAAAUAAGCUCAGUGUGGCCAAGUCAUCAAGUUCUGCCCCAGCUGCAUUACCUCAGUGACCACAGGUUGGGGCUGCCCAGUGCUGGGCCCACCGAAACCUGCCCACCCAGAGAAAGGCCAGGCCAGCUUCCAUGCCUCCUGGGGUCCUCAAAUGCAGGCUUUGAAUAGCUGCAGCUACUCAGGCCCGGGCCUCCCUGGACACAGGCCACAGAAGGGGCAGGGCCCAUCCCGCCUGCACGGAGCCGGCAGCUAUUUACAAACCGAAACCGGGAGAAGUGAAGUGGCUGCGGCCAAGUGGCUCCAGGCCCCCCAGCCCCCACUCCCACUCCAUCCCCAGCAGCCCAUCCCCCUCUCCCCAUGGCUUCCUCUUUCCUUCUCCACACAGCUCCCCAGCCUCCCGCUGCCCGGCCAGCUCUGUCUGGACAACCUGCAGGCACCUCACGGUGACGCCCAACCCCACUGUCACAGGCCGACGGGUCCCUUCUCCUCUGCACCCCCAGGACCCCAUCAGUCUGGACUCCUUGGAACAGCCCCUCCCACCCGGGCCCGGCCGCCCACCCUGGGCAGGCCCAAGGCACAUUCCCACACUUCUCAGUUCCCCUUCGUGCUUGGAAAAGCUCCAACGCCAAUGGCUGCCACCAUGCUGCCCAUCCCUCCUGAGGGUGGUUUCUCUGGGCAUCCUGCAUCUUCACAGGAGCCAAGGAAUCUGGGGUGCUACGGUGGAACUUGGGGCACCCGGGGACUUUGGAGGGCAUGUUUCUGGACAGGAGGACCCAGCCACUGCUCUCCUUGGGUUGAUGUGGGGGACAGGCCCUUGUGCGGUGCAGAGGGACACUGGGCCUGAGGCCGCGGCACACCCGGCUUAGGAAGUGGCAGGCUGGAUGGCCUUUCAGCAGGAGACCGCUCCGAGGAGAGACAACAGGCCACAUAAGUGACACUCAUUACUAACAGACCAACUCCCUCACAUUGGCGCAGAGGUUUCCAGUUGACAUCAGUCAGAUCUUUCCAUCCCCAGAACGAGCCUAUCCCAUGACCACCAUCAUAAAGUGGAAACCGAGGCUCAGAGGGGAAACCACGUGUACGAGGCCCCAUAGCUAGAGAGCGUCUGGAUUGGGAUUCAAGGUUUAUUAACACCCUAUUCCCUCUUCUCCCUGACUGCCUUUGGUUCCAUCUUGUACCCCAGUCUCCCUACUGGCAGGACCGAAGUCUCCUAGCACUGUGACAAGAGCGAAAGCAGGGCUGGUCUGAUGCUUGAGACAGAAGCAGGCUUUGGACGGCAUAGUUGGCAGAUGGCCACCCCUGGCCAGGUGUCAGUGCCCAGUGCCCCCGCCUCCCGCCAAGUCCCAGCUGAGCAGAAGCCCUGGCCUGAGUCCCGCUCCGCCAUAGCCAGCUGGCUGGUUGAGUUUCUCCUAACCUCUCUGAGCCUCAGAGCCCCCUCCUGUGAAAUUGGCAUUUCACGAACACCAAGCACCUACUUGGUGCCAGAUCUAUGCUGGCUGCAAGCUGCCUCUGAAGCUACAACAUGACCCCUGGCCACAGUCCUGGGUAGAAGGCAGAUGAGUUACAAAAUUCUGAGAGCUCCCAGAUGGAAAUUGAGGCCUUGGGACACGGAAAGGGAGUGAUGGUGCUCCCAGGGUGCGGAGGGGUAUCACUUGGGAUGGGCCCAAAGGACAGGAAAGAGUUCUCCAGAAAAAGCAUGGGGGACAGACUCUCAUGCUGAGUCACACCCCUGUGCUUUGUAGUUCCCACGGCCUGAGUGCCCUUCCUUCCUCUGGGCCUGGUGAACUCCUACCCAUCCGUCAGGGCCCAUGGGCACACUGGAGAAUGACCAGGCCUGGCCUGGCCUGGUGGCUCCUUACCUCCUUUCUCCCACCCAGAGCCUAAGCAGAGCCUGAGGCCAGGAGUCUUUGGUCACAACACCCUCGCCAGCCCCACCCGAGCAGGCGUCUGCUCCCGGGUUCCAGCCCCCGCCGUCCCCUGCUCCGAAAAGCACCAUUUCCCUUUUCUGGGUGACCACACGCCAUGCACAGGGAAUUUCCAGCGCAGCCUGUGGAGCCUCUGAUUCACUCAGGCCCCUCAUGCAGUUAACUCCUUCCAGGCCCCGCGCCUUUAGCUCCGCACGCUGGGUGGUACCCCACCCCCACCCAGGGCCCCUGGGUGGCCUCAAACUGGCCUUGGGCCACAGCUCGGAAGUCGAAGUUUCUCCCUAGCCCUACGCCUCAGGGUCCUCCCGUCAUAUGCACAGAGACCUCUUCCCGAGGACUCACGGCAUACACACUGGGCAGCCUUGGGCCCAGAGCACAGGCUUUGGGGUAAAACAAGCCUGGGUCCAGUGCUGAGUCUGGCUCUUUCAGUCCUGUGACCUGGAAAAGUGUCCGCUCUGAGCCCCAUUUCUCAUCUGUGAAAUGGAGAUCAUCCCUGUCCCAUAGCCUCGCUGUAAGGAUCCAAUGUGCUGGGCCCGCGAGGACGGUUGUAUAAUUAUUACCUUUCCUUUUUCUUUUCAAAGGGCCCCUCUCAUCCAAUCUCAGGGUCCCUGCUCCAGUCCUGGGCCCCUUUUCUGUCUGGCUUUCCCCUCCUGAGAGCUGACUGCUCACACGGGGAGGGUGAGAGAGAAGGGCCAGGGGGGCAGAGGAGGGAGGGGUGCUAUAGUCAUGGGGCUCUCCUCCAGCAGCUUCCUGGCUCCCCGCAUUUCUCUUUU